rnacentral:rRNA from 1 species
GAACGAAGUAGCAAUACUUAGUGGCAGACGGGUGAGUAACAUGUGGGUAUCUGCCCUUUGGCCCGGAAUAACACGAGGAAACUUGUGCUAAUACUGGAUAAGUCUUUACGGAGAAAGCUUUAUGCACCAUUGGAUGAGCCCGCACUUGAUUAGUUUGUUGGUAGGGUAAUGGCCUACCAAGACUGUGAACAAUAGCUGAUUUGAGAGGAUGAUCAGCCACAUUGGGACUGAGACACGGCCCAAACUCCUACGGGAGGCAGCAGUGGGGAAUCUUGCACAAUGGAGGAAACUCUGAUGCAGCAAUGCCGCGUGAGUGAAGAAGGCCCUUGGGUUGUAAGCUCUUUCGUCGGGGAAGAAAAUGACUGUACCCGAAUAAGAAGGUCCGGCUAACUUCGUGCCAGCAGCCGCGGUAAUACGAAGGGACCUAGCGUAGUUCGGAAUUACUGGGCUUAAAGAGUUCGUAGGUGGUUGAAAAAGUUGGUGGUGAAAUCCCAGAGCUUAACUCUGGAACUGCCAUCAAAACUUUUCAGCUAGAGUUUGAUAGAGGAAAGCAGAAUUUCUAGUGUAGAGGUGAAAUUCGUAGAUAUUAGAAAGAAUACCAAUUGCGAAGGCAGCUUUCUGGAUCAUUACUGACACUGAGGAACGAAAGCAUGGGUAGCGAAGAGGAUUA